GUGCUCCCUUCGGCAGCACAUGAACUAACAUUGCAUUGAUAUACAGAAGAUUAGCAUGGCAUGUGCACAUGGAUGACACGCAAAUUCAGGAAAAGUUGCAUAUUUUU